UACGUAGGGGGGCAAGCGUUGUCCGGAUUCAUUGGGCGUAAAGAGCGUGUAGGCGGCCAGGUAGGUCGGUUGUGAAAACUGGGAGGCUCAACCUUCAGACGUCGACCGAAACCAUCUGGCUAGAGUCCGGGAGAGGAGAGUGGAAUUCCCUGGUGUAGCGGUGAAAUGCGCAGAUAUCAGGAAGAACACCCGUGGCGAAAGCGGCUCUCUGGAACGGUACUGACGCUGAGACGCGAAAGCGUGGGGAGCGAACAGG
rnacentral:rRNA from 1 species